rnacentral:rRNA from 1 species
UACGAAGGGGGCUAGCGUUGCUCGGAAUCACUGGGCGUAAAGGGCGCGUAGGCGGCGUUUUAAGUCGGGGGUGAAAGCCUGUGGCUCAACCACAGAAUGGCCUUCGAUACUGGGACGCUUGAGUAUGGUAGAGGUUGGUGGAACUGCGAGUGUAGAGGUGAAAUUCGUAGAUAUUCGCAAGAACACCGGUGGCGAAGGCGGCCAACUGGACCAUUACUGACGCUGAGGCACGAAAGCUAGGGGAGCAAACGGG